AGAGAGAGAGAGAGAGAGAGAGAGGAGAGAGAGAGAGAGAGAGAGGGGGAGAGGGAGAGAGAGCAGAGAGAAAAAAGAGAGAAAAGCAGAGACAUAGACAGCGACAUAGAGAGAGACCCGAGAAAGACAAAGAGAGACAGAGAGAGACAGAUACAGAGAGGAACAGAGACAGAGAUGAACACUCAUAAUAAUGAGUUUCUGAAGGCGAUGGAGGCGUCAGAUUCCACUGAGCCAACAGCCUCCCUCUGACCCCAUCGACGGGCCCCCGACCGGGGGAGAGACGGCCUUCGUAGGACCCAAGCCCUCCAGACGUCUCUCUCGCGGCCUACCAGCGGCGGGGGCGGCGGCGGCGGUCGCGGUCGCCCGGCCCCCUUCCACUCCUCUGAUCCCAUUAGCGAGACACUUCCCAUCAUGCACGCUGUCACGCGGACGAUGGGAACACUGCAGCUGGCUCUUCUUAGCAGCGGCUGGGAGCGGAUGUCUCCGUGCGGUUGACGGUCACGCAGAAGGAUCGCCGCUCGGCUUGUUUACGUACAGUUGUGUACAUGAUGUUGGCAAGAAGAGGCUGUUUAGGAUGUGUGCGGAUGGUUCGUGUGUGUGUGUGUUUGUGUUUGUGUAUACAGUUUGCGUUUGGAUGUGUGUACGUGCGUGUGUGCGUGCGUGCGUGUCAGGGUGUGUAAGCAGGGUUGUGUGUGUGUGUGUGUGUGUCUGUCUGAGCCUCGGUCUGUGUGUGUCCGUGUGUAUGCGCCCGUGUGUGUAUGUGUGUGCGUGUGUGUGAUGUGUGUGUGUAUGUGUCUGUGUGCAUGUGUGUGUAUGUGUGUGUAUGUGUUUGUGAUAGCGGGUAUGUGUCUCUGAAUGUAUGUGUGCGCAUGUGUAUGUGUGUGUGUAUGUGUGCGUCUGCAUGUGUGUGUGUAUGUGUAUGUGCAUAUGUAUGUGCAUGUGUGUGUGUGUGUGUCAGCGUACAUGCGGGUCAGCGGUGUGCCCCGGGGCUGGGUUUGAGUGACAGAUGGUGGUGGAGGGGGCGGACCUAAAGACCAGUAGGCCGGUCUGCGGUCGGGUCCAUCAGCUCUCUCUCUCUUUCAUCUCCCCACUAGAAAGAAGGGAAGACAAAGGGAGGAACAGAGAGAGAGAAAGGAGGGAGAGCGGGAGACAAAGGGCGGGCGACAGUGACGGACAGAGAGAGAGGAGGGAGCGGGAGAGGGGGAGAUAAAAGGGGAAGAAAUGGAGAGAGGCAGGUGUCUUCAGUGUGUGGAAAACACAAGAGAGAGAGAGAGAGAGAGAGAGAGAGAGAGAGAGAGAGAGAGAGAGAGAGAGAGAGAGAGAGAGA
ensembl:lncRNA